rnacentral:rRNA from 1 species
CAGUCGCCACGGGAAUACGGAGGGUGCAAGCGUUAAUCGGAAUUACUGGGCGUAAAGCGCACGCAGGCGGUUUGUUAAGUCAGAUGUGAAAUCCCCGAGCUUAACUUGGGAACUGCAUUUGAAACUGGCAAGCUAGAGUCUUGUAGAGGGGGGUAGAAUUCCAGGUGUAGCGGUGAAAUGCGUAGAGAUCUGGAGGAAUACCGGUGGCGAAGGCGGCCCCCUGGACAAAGACUGACGCUCAGGUGCGAAAGCGUGGGGAGCAAACAGGAUUAGAUACCCGAGUAGUCCCUGUCUCUUAUAC